ACCACUGAGUUUAAUCAUAUAAUUAAGCGGAGGAAAAGAAACUUACAAGGACUCCCCUAGUAACAAUGAGCGAACCGAGAAGAGCCCAGCAUGAAAAUCAAGUGGCAGCACCGCCUAAUUACUAGGGGAGUUACGGUGCCAAACUAUGUGCUAACCCAGAUCCAACAAAGGGUGUUGGUUGAUUAAGACAGCAGGACGAUGGUCAUGGAAGUCAAAAUCCGCUAAGGAGUGUGUAACAACUCACCUGUCGAAUCAACUAGCUCCAAAAAUGGAUGGCCCUGAAGUGCAUGACCUAUACUUGACUGUCGGAGCAAUUGUUAAGAUUCGAUGAGUAGGAGGACGUGGGGGUCGUUGAGAAACCUUGGGCGUGAGCCUGGAUGGACCUGUCCCCGGUGCAGAUCUUGGUGGUAGUAGCAAAUAAUAAAAUGAGAACUUUGAAGAUUGAAGUGGGGAAAGGUUCCAUGUGAACAACACUUGGAAAUGGGUUAGUCGAUCCUAAGAGAUGGGGAAGCCUUGUAUCAAGGGUGCACUCUGCACAAACAUCGAAAGAGAAUCGAGUUAAUAUUCCCAAACUGGGACAUGGCGGCAGAAGACAACGUUAGGAAAUUCAGAGACGUCGUCAGGGGCCCUGGGAAGAGUUAUCUUUUCUUUUUAACAACUUGCCCACCCUGAAAUCGGCUCAACCAGAGAUAGGGUCCAGCAGUUGAAAGAGCAUCACACGUCUUGCGGUGUUCGGUGCGCCCUCGGUGACCCUUAAAAAUCUGGAGGACCGAGUACCGUCCAUGAUCGGUCGUACUCAUAACUGCAUCAGGUCUCCAAGGUGAACAACCUCUGGUC
rfam:Picea glauca, whole genome shotgun sequence.